AUUGAACGCUGGCGGCAGGCCUAACACAUGCAAGUCGAGCGGAUGAAGGGAGCUUGCUCCUGGAUUCAGCGGCGGACGGGUGAGUAAUGCCUAGGAAUCUGCCUGGUAGUGGGGGAUAACGUCCGGAAACGGGCGCUAAUACUGCAUACGUCCUGAGGGAGAAAGUGGGGGAUCUUCGGACCUCACGCUAUCAGAUGAGCCUAGGUCGGAUUAGCUAGUUGGUGGGGUAAAGGCCUACUAAGGCGACGAUCCGUAACUGGUCUGAGUGGAUGAUCAGUCACACUGGAACUGAGACACGGUCCAGACUCCUACGGGAGGCAGCAGUGGGGAAUAUUGGACAAUGGGCGAAAGCCUGAUCCAGCCAUGCCGCGUGUGUGAAGAAGGUCUUCGGAUUGUAAAGCACUUUAAGUUGGGAGGAAGGGCAGUAAGUUAAUACCUUGCUGUUUUGACGUUACCAACAGAAUAAGCACCGGCUAACUUCGUG
rnacentral:rRNA from 1 species